rnacentral:rRNA from 1 species
ACUCAAAGGAAUUGACGGGGACCCGCACAAGCAGUGGAGCAUGUGGUUUAAUUCGAUGCAACGCGAAGAACCUUACCCAGGUUUGACAUGCAGUAGAAAGCGCUAGAGAUAGCGACCCCCGCAAGGGCUGCUGCACAGGUGCUGCAUGGCUGUCGUCAGCUCGUGCCGUGAGGUGUUGGGUUAAGUCCCGCAACGAGCGCAACCCUUAUCUCUAGUUGCCAACACGUAAAGGUGGGAACUCUAGCGAGACUGCCCGGGUUAACCGGGAGGAAGGCGAGGAUGACGUCAAGUCCGCAUGGCCCUUAUGUCUGGGGCUACACACGUGCUACAAUGGUCGGUACAGAGGGGAGCGAAGCCGCGAGGUGAAGCAAAUCCCAGAAAGCCGGCCCCAGUUCAGAUUGCAGUCUGCAACUCGACUGCAUGAAGUUGGAAUUGCUAGUAAUGGCGCGUCAGCUACAGCGCCGUGAAUACGUUCCCGGGUCUUGUACACACCGCCCGU